GCAAUUUCAGGUAGCUUUUCUGACUCUUAAAGAGAUCUCAAGUAUACUUUCAGAGAAAUGCCAGCAAAAACUGUAGUCAUUUGGGAAGGAAUAAGCCUGGAAGAAAAAGAUACAACGAACUAGCACAACGAGGAGUUUGAAAAGUUCAUGACAGCUCACAGCUGAUGAUGGUGGCAAUCUUAAGGAUACAGAAAGCUCAUUCCUCAUGCAGGGAAGAAGAAAAUAUUCUAAAGAAGAGAUAAGCAUAUUCCAUGAAAUCAAAAAAGCGUAAAACGCUGGAGGAGAAGUCAGUAGCAAGCAGCUAAGACAACAUGGUACAUUUGGCUGGAAGCCCACCAACUGCUAACAACCAGCUGGAGGGUAAGUCAAAAGCUAUGAAAGCCCAGAAGGAGAACAAUUAUUUAGACCUGGAGGGGCCAGUUGGGAAAGUCUUUGAAGGGUCUUCAGAAAAUGGACCAAAAGAAAAGAGGAAAAGUCAUUCUACUGAGAGGUGUUUGUGUAAUCAAAGCAACCCAGGCCUAAGAACUCACAAAAGAUUAGAAAAGGGUAAAGGAUGCCUGGAAAGCCGGACUAGGAAAAGGCUGUGAAGGGCCCUGAAGGUCACAUGUCACAUGUUGCCUACAGCAUGCAGAAUCAAAACAUGGUAAAUCAUGUCUUGAAUCAUGACAUAUGAAGCAUGACGCACAAAUCAUGACAUAUGACAUGUUGAAUGUCACAUGUCACAUGCCGUAGGCAGCCAUCAAGAGUAUUUGAAAGGAAAGUGUAUAAUCAGGCCUGUGCUUUAGUAAGACAAUUUGUAUAGUGUUCAGUGUGGAUUAAAAUGGAGAACACAGGUAUCAGUUUGACAUCGACAAUACAGGAAACCAUUUGGGUUUCUUGUACACCAAAAUAUUAAAACAUACAUGCAAACACACCAACACAUUAAAAUCUUGAGAGAGAGGGCCAAAAGUUCUUUGUCGCUGGACUAAAAGUGGAAAUAAAUGUUUACAACCUCUAAGGUGGAUUAAGCUAAGAAUUUGGAGUUGUUGGCAAAACUGCCACAUAAAAUUUCAGACAUGCAAAGAAAUGCAAUUGUAGACUUAUGCACAUACUUCCACCAGAGAAGGGAAUCUGGGCAGAGUGUUCAAAGCUUAAGAAAUUCCUUGCUUUUCACCAAGAAGAACCAACAACGUUUUCUUUGAAUCAACUCUCAUAUUCCCUUAAAAACAAGUUGAUAGUGUUGUGGAAAACUCACCCAUUGAAGUGACAACAAAAACAGCAACCCAGUAUGAGUUAACUGGUAUUAUGUUAAAGGGACAAGUAACCGCACUUUUGACACACAUCCUCUAAAAGGUAGGGUGGGAGUGUUUCAGAGAAUCAAGUCUGAGUAAUAGAAAAGCAUAUACCACUUCCCCAUAUACACGUUCGAGCAUGGGGGAGCAGGAGGCUGGGUAAUUGAAUGCAGUUGUGCACACUGGCCAUUUUCCCACCACAUACCAUUUCUUCAGUGUCUCUCCCAAAAUUCUCCUCCUAAGUGGCACAUCCCUUUAUUGAUCAUCUUUCCCCAUACUGAUCAUCCUCAGCAAUCAUGUGAGUUGUUAGUCUAAGUAUUUGUUUUUCUCAAAUAUGGUCUUUUAACUACUCCCUAAAUAUUUUAUGUAUACAUGGUUUGUUUUCCCAAUUUAACUACAAGCAUUUAAAAAAUGGGAAUAUUUGUCUAUAUUUCUGUAAUUUUUCAUCAUGCCUUAUAUGGUAUAUAAAGAUCAACAGCAAUAAAACAACAACAGUAAUAAUA